CCUACGGGUGGCAGCAGUGGGGAAUAUUGCACAAUGGGGGAAACCCUGAUGCAGCGACGCCGCGUGAGUGAAGAAGUAUCUCGGUACGUAAAGCUCUAUCAGCAGGGAAGAAAAUGACGGUACCUGACUAAGAAGCUCCGGCUAACUACGUGCCAGCAGCCGCGGUAAUACGUAGGGUGCAAGCGUUAUCCGGAUUUACUGGGUGUAAAGGGAGCGUAGACGGGAGCACAAGUCAGGAGUGAAAUCCCGGGGCUUAACCCUGGAACUGCAUUGGAAACUGUGCGGCUGGAGUGCAGGUGGGGUAGGCGGAAUUCCUAGUGUAGCGGUGAAAUGCGUAGAUAUUAGGAAGAACACCGGUGGCGAAGGCGGCUUACUGAACUGUAACUGACGUUGAGGCUCGAAAGCGUGGGGAGCAAACAGGAUUAGAUACCCGGGUAGUC
rnacentral:rRNA from 1 species